rnacentral:tRNA from 1 species
GGUUUUAUAGUCAUUUAAUGAUAUUAGACUGCAAUUCUAAAGGAAUAAUUAUAUUUAUUAAAACCU